rnacentral:rRNA from 1 species
AGCAUAUCAAUAAGCGGAGGAAAAGAAACCAACAGGGAUUGCCCUAGUAACGGCGAGUGAAGCGGCAACAGCUCAAAUUUGAAAUCUGGCCCCCGGGUCCGAGUUGUAAUUUGUAGAGGAUGCUUUUGGUGAGGUACCUUCCGAGUUCCCUGGAACGGGACGCCAUAGAGGGUGAGAGCCCCGUCUGGUCGGAUACCGAUCCUCUGUAAAGCUCCUUCGACGAGUCGAGUAGUUUGGGAAUGCUGCUCUAAAUGGGAGGUAUAUGUCUUCUAAAGCUAAAUAUAGGCCAGAGACCGAUAGCGCACAAGUAGAGUGAUCGAAAGAUGAAAAGCACUUUGAAAAGAGGGUUAAACAGUACGUGAAAUUGUUGAAAGGGAAGCGCUUGUGACCAGACUUGGGCCCGGUUAAUCAUCCAGCGUUCUCGCUGGUGCACUUGGCCGGCCCAGGCCAGCACCAGUUCGGCGUGGGGGAUAAAGGCGGCGGGAAUGUGGCUCCUCCGGGAGUGUUAUAGCCCACCGUGUAAUACCCUGUGCUGGACUGAGGUUCGCGCAUUCGCAAGGAUGCUGGCGUAAUGGUCAUUAGCGACCCGU